GCACGAUGGGACAAACAGCUCUUCUGUGGCUGCUCCUUCCAAGGUUUCUGCUUUGCCACACAACAAACCAAGCUCGUCUGACUGUGAGUCCCAGCAGCUCUCAGUUCUUUA